rnacentral:rRNA from 1 species
UACGGAGGAUGCGAGCGUUAUCCGGAUUUAUUGGGCUUAAAGGGUGCGUAGGCGGGUUAUCAAGUCAGCGGUAAAAUCGUGGAGCUCAACUCCAUCCAGCCGUUGAAACUGAUGAUCUUGAGUGGGCGAGAAGUAUGCGGAAUGCGUGGUGUAGCGGUGAAAUGCAUAGAUAUCACGCAGAACUCCGAUUGCGAAGGCAGCAUACCGGCGCCCGACUGACGCUGAAGCACGAAAGCGUGGGUAUCGAACAGG